rnacentral:tRNA from 1 species
CCUCCGAGUAGCUCAGUUGGUAGACGCGGAGGACUGUAGGUACUUAAACUAGUCAUCCUCAGGUCACUGGUUCCAAUCCGCUUCAAAGGG